rnacentral:rRNA from 1 species
AUUGAACGCUGGCGGCAUGCCUUACACAUGCAAGUCGAACGGUAACAGGUCUUCGGAUGCUGACGAGUGGCGAACGGGUGAGUAAUGCAUCGGAACGUGCCCAGUAGUGGGGGAUAGCCCGGCGAAAGCCGGAUUAAUACCGCAUACGACCUGAGGGUGAAAGGGGGGGAUCGCAAGACCUCUCGCUAUCGGAGCGGCCGAUGUCGGAUUAGCUAGUUGGUGGGGUAAAGGCCCACAAAGGCAACGAUCCGUAGCUGGUCUGAGAGGACGACCAGCCACACUGGGACUGAGACACGGCCCAGACUCCUACGGGAGGCAGCAGUGGGGAAUUUUGGACAAUGGACGCAAGUCUGAUCCAGCCAUGCCGCGUGCGGGAAGAAGGCCUUCGGGUUGUAAACCGCUUUUGUCAGGGAAGAAAUCUUCUGGGUUAAUACCUCGGGAGGAUGACGGUACCUGAAGAAUAAGCACCGGCUAACUACGUGCCAGCCGCCGCGGUAAAAC